UACGUAGGUGGCAAGCGUUGUCCGGAUUUACUGGGCGUAAAGAGCACGCAGGCGGUUUGGCAAGUCGGAUGUGAAAACCCGGAGCUCAACUCCGGACCUGCAUCCGAAACUGCCCGACUAGAGGUAGGUAGGGGAGAUCGGAAUUCCUGGUGUAGCGGUGAAAUGCGCAGAUAUCAGGAGGAACACCGGUGGCGAAGGCGGAUCUCUGGGCCUUACCUGACGCUCAGGUGCGAAAGCUAGGGGAGCGAACAGG
rnacentral:rRNA from 1 species